rnacentral:siRNA from 1 species
GACAGCGCCUCGUGGUGCGAC